rnacentral:lncRNA from 1 species
GCAAUGAAAGCAGUCUGUGUGGAGAGAUUGAAAUGCAUUUCAAAGCCAGGCCUGACUAGGGGGGCACGGAGAACAGACCUAUGAGCGUUCCCUAGGAAGGGAAAAAAGUGAAUGGAGAAUGGGAGAGAAGCGGGAGCUGUGGACCGGGUGUUGAAGUUACCGUGGCUCUGUGGACUCAGUCGUCUCCAGUGGGGCCGAAGUUGGACGUCUCGCUGUCCAGGAGACUGAGCGGUCUGAGCAGGGAAAGUUUGGAGCUCCGCAUGAUUGGAAAGAAUGAAGAUUUCUUCUCACCAACCCCUCUUCACCCGUCGGAACCGGAAGGAUGUGUGGAUAGAUGGCUUAAGAACAAAAUGAACUGGAGUUUUUUGAGAGUCCUUUGAGGCCUGCUUGGAUAUUUCCCUCCCUUCCUCCCAAGCCACCACCUCCUUCGGUGGAAUAGAAGAUUGGCUGCCUCAGUAAACCCAGGAGAGCCAUGGUGAGUGACCACAGUAGCUUUCUCUUCCAAAUGACAACUAUCUCAUCUCUUCAGACUAAAUUAACUCCACCCACAGUCAGAAGAAAACUCACAAAAUGGUGGUCAGGAAGACUGAUCUCUAGAACAUUCACGGGACGACAGGAUGAGAGGGAAAAAGGGGAUUGCAGAGGCAAAGCUAGACUAGGUCUUGGAGGCUGGUGUAAGGCGGUGCGCGGAAGGCAGGACGCUGAUGGGAGAGACUGGUCGAAGAAAAGCCGAAAUGGAUUCUCCGUGCUUUGGAUGG